GUGUUUGGACGUACACGCCAAUCGGCAACAUAGAAAUUGAAACCCAAUUGGUGUGUUUGGACGUACACGCCAUUCGGCAGCAUAGAAAUUGAAACCCGAAAUGGGUGGAUUGUCAGUUACCAUUUUUUUCCCAUCUUGAAGAUUUCAUUCAUCUCAAUGCAUGUUAUAUCUUUCUCUCUGUAGGACAUGUUUCCAAGGGGGCAAAACCCAAAGGUAGGGGAGCUCCGAAGAAGGCUCGUGCUAGAAAGAAAAUGCCGACUGCCGUUGAUAGUGAAGAGGAAGAUGAUGAGGUGCUCGAGCUAAAAGAACGACUGGCAGCGUAUAACAUUUAUUCUCCUUCAGAUCAAACAAGUAUAUGAUCAUCCAUGUGCAGUAAGCUUUUGGAUCAAAGUGAAGCGAAGAAUAGGGUGUUAGUUGAUGGCAAAUUGAUAACCAGUAGAUGCACAUCCAUGGAGUUUUCACUUGCAAUUGUUGAGAAGUUAUUUGGCUGCGAGAAGGCAUUGGAUCUUGCUAUUAAUGAGAACUUUAAAUAGACAUAUAACUAUUAUGUUGGUAUUGUACUUUUGUGAAUGGAAAUGAAUGAUUGGGUUUGAUUGAAUAAA